UCCGAUAUAGUGUACGGUUUUCACAUCACGCUUUCACCGUGAGACCGGGGUUCGAUUCCCCUUAUCGGAG
rnacentral:tRNA from 1 species